UUCGGUUGUGUCAUUACAGUAGUGUAUUACAAUACAAAGUAUGAACUUUGUAUAUUGUAAUACACUGUUAUAUUACUUGA
rfam:Bombyx mori DNA, contig: Bm_scaf9_contig7517, strain: p50T/Dazao, build 2, whole genome shotgun sequence.